UCCCAUGUGGCUCAGUUGGUAGAGCAUGGCGCUUGUAUCGCCAAGGUUGUGGGUGCAAUUCCCACGGGGGAC
rnacentral:tRNA from 1 species